rnacentral:rRNA from 2 species
CGAGUUUACAAACUCCCAAACCCAUCGCGAACAUACCUUUUGUUGCUUCGGCGAUGCUGCCCCCGGGCACUCGCCGAAGGCCCCGAACCUCUGUAUCUACCGUGGAAUUCUGAGUGGCGAAAGCAAAAACGAAUCAAAACUUUCAACAACGGAUCUCUUGGUUCUGGCAUCGAUGAAGAACGCAGCGAAAUGCGAUAAGUAAUGUGAAUUGCAGAAUUCAGUGAAUCAUCGAAUCUUUGAACGCACAUUGCGCCCGCCAGUAUUCUGGCGGGCAUGCCUGUCCGAGCGUCAUUUCAACCCUCAGGCCCCAUCCCUCGCGGAGCGGGCCUGGCGUUGGGGAUCGGCCGUCCUCCCGGGCGGCCGGCCCCGAAAUACAGUGGCGGUCACGCCGCAGCCUCCCCUGCGCAGUAGCACAUCUCGCACCGGAGAGCGGCGCGGCCACGCCGUGAAACCCCCCACUAUACCAAGGUUGACCUCGGAUCAGGUAGGAAUACCCGCUGAACUUAAGCA